UGGGGAAUAUUGGACAAUGGGCGAAAGCCUGAUCCAGCCAUGCCGCGUGAGUGAUGAAGGCCCUAGGGUUGUAAAGCUCUUUUGUGCGGGAAGAUAAUGACGGUACCGCAAGAAUAAGCCCCGGCUAACUUCGUGCCAGCAGCCGCGGUAAUACGAAGGGGGCUAGCGUUGCUCGGAAUCACUGGGCGUAAAGGGUGCGUAGGCGGGUUUCUAAGUCAGAGGUGAAAGCCUGGAGCUCAACUCCAGAACUGCCUUUGAUACUGGAAGUCUUGAGUUCGGGAGAGGUGAGUGGACUGCGAGUGUAGAGGUGAAAUUCGUAGAUAUUCGCAAGAACACCAGUGGCGAAGGCGGCUCACUGGCCCGAUACUGACGCUGAGGCACGAAGGCGUGGGGAGCAAACA
rnacentral:rRNA from 1 species